CUCCGAGGAUGAUUUGAUACUAGUAGGACGGGAAAUGGCACUCAAGUCCUUUUUCAUCCAAGGGAACUUCAGAGUUGUGAGCCACAAGUGGGAGCAGCGAACUACGUGGUCAAGAAUGUACCCAAACACCCAUGAAUUAAGUCCUAUGAAUUGUCAAUAUCAAUGUACUCAGAUGCUGGUUCAUCAGAAUCAGAUCCAUCAUCAAAGCUUAUAUUUUGAGUUUCCACAGCAUUAUUCCCCCAGCUCUGAUCACCUGCUCUUAGAAAAUCUUUCAAAUCAUCUAAAAUAUAAGGUUCCACCAGUUUCCAGAACCAUGUGGAAUCACUUCCUAAAAAUCCUAUCCAAAACACAUUUCCCUUUCCCUUCACCCUGCAAUUGAGAGAUUUCGCUUUUAAAGUUUUAACAACCUUUUCAACCCCCUCUCUACUUCCUUUAAGCUUCAACAAGAUAUCCUUGGAUGAUGUUCUGUGCCCUCCAUACAUAUACCAGUAUGCAAGAACCUGUGGUGACAGCCACCUAUGAAUUAGCUUUGGUAUUGUGGCCCGACCUUUAGGCCAAAACUGGUCUGCAUAGAAACCAAAGUAAGAGUGUGAGAUAGUAGAAAAUCUGCAAGAUACAUCAUCGCUACCAUCACUAAUCUUACAGGAGGGAUGUAACCACUCAUGGUACUGGUCAUAUAAAUAUCUCCUCAAAACACAAUGUGUGCUAGAACUCUCAUUGAACUCAAAUUGUAUCCUGUGUCUCUUCCGUUCUUCAUCUGAAUCAAUUCGCAAACCUCCUAACAGCAACCCCACUAAAAUUUCUCUCUGAUCUUUGCUUAGCUUGAGGCUUACAGGCUUCUUAACCUCUUUCCUACUCAAGCUCAAUACAUAUUCAAGCUUUCCCAUUAAUGAGGAUUCAAUAUCAUAUUUCUUCUGGCACAUCAGAUCAUAUAUCUUCUCCGCCUUCAUGUAGUCUCCAGAAGAGAGGUACCCUUUGAGAAUAAUAUUGCAUGAUCUGGUGUUAACACCAACAACUUUAUCUCUAUACAUAGUUGAAGGUCUCUUCUGCUUUCUCAAGAUCACCACUUUUUACCAAAGAAUCCAGGUAUAUAUUGCAAAUAGUCCGGUUUGGUUGACAGGUCUCAAGGCAUGCAGAGAAAGCUGACUUCAAUUUAUCAUGCAAAUUUAAAUAAAGGUACAUAUUCAUUAGAUAAAUAAAACCUUGCAUAAGGGGCUUCAUACCACUCUCAAUGAACUCUUGCAUGAGCAAUUCCGCCAAUUCCACGUCCUGAGCUUGACAUAACACUUCCAUGAUUUUAUGAUAUGCUGCAACAGUAGCACAACCCAAACGUUCCUGCAUUUCAUAUUUCCAAACAUUUCAUAUGCUCUCCAACCUUAGCAAAGACUUCCAUCCUGUACACAAAAGCUUGUGUGGGGAGAUCGCCAUCAAUGCUAAGGAGUUUGAGCCAAGUUCUUUCUGCUUCCUCCACAUCACCCUCCCUCGAGCAUGCUCUCAAAAUAGAUACAAGCACUUCCCUGCCCUCCUCUAUUCCUGCUUGCUUCAUCUCUUCCCUUAGUGAUGCAAUCCUUUGUUUAUCUAUGUUGUCCUGAUAGCUAUGUAGCCAAAUUAGGCCACAAUAAAUAUCCUUCUGUAUCUCAAGUCCAGAUGUCACCAAAUUAUGAAAAAUAAACUCAGCCUGCUUGAGAUAAUGUUUUGAAGUACCUCCUGGUUUGCUCACAAGAGCUCUAAAAAGAGAAUUGUGCAAACUGAGUCGUGGCUGGUAACCUCCCAACUGAAUCAUGCGAUUGUAUAUGCU
rnacentral:misc_RNA from 1 species